UAUGAAGCCGGAAUUGCUAGUAAUGGCAGGUCAGCAUACUGCCGUGAAUACGUUCCCGGGCCUUGUACACACCGCCCGUCACACCAUGAGAGUUGGAAAUACCCGAAGCCUGGUGAGCUGACCGUAAGGGGCAGCAGUCGAAGGUAGAGCCAAUGAUUGGGGUGAAGUCGUAACAAGGUACC
rnacentral:rRNA from 1 species